UCCCUCCUACGGGGGGCAGCAGUGGGGGAUAUUGGACAAUGGGGGAAACCCUGAUCCAGCGAUGCCGCGUGAGGGAAGAAGGUUUUCGGAUUGUAAACCUCUGUGGAGGGGGACGAUAAUGACGGUACCCCUUUAGGAAGCCACGGCUAACUACGUGCCAGCAGCCGCGGCAAUACGUAGGUGGCGAGCGUUGUCCGGAAUUACUGGGUGUAAAGGGGGUGUAGGCGGGGAAGCGGGUCAGAAGUGAAAACUAUGGGCUUAACCGAUAG
rnacentral:rRNA from 1 species